AGAACUUCAGCCUUGGUUUUCCAGCUCGCAAACAGUUAAGUGACUUCCUGCAAACGCUACAGUCCCAGCAACCAGCCUUCCAAUCAAAAGAUAUAGGGAAGAUCUUGCUGUAGGUGACUGCAUGGGGAAGAAAGAAUAUCAUCACCAUUAGCAUCAUUAUCUCUGCCCUCUUUUGUGGAGGGCUUACUCUGUGCCAGGCCCUAUACUUAACACCCUGCAAGCAUCUUUACAACAUGCCUGUAAGGUGGCCCCUCCCACCAGUGCCUCUCCUGGCUGAACCUGACCGGAAGCAAGGUGUCAGAGAGUCUGGAAGAGACUGUUGGGGCCCAUCUACCUAUGAUGCCGAGCAGCAGGCUGGCUUUGUGGGCAUUCUCUCUGUACAGUCACACAGGGCCCCAUCCUUAGAAGAGCCCGGCGCUUGGUUUGAUGUUCUGCUGUCACUGUCAAGAAAUUCUGAAUCCUUUUUGAACAAGGAGUCUUGUGCUUUUAUUUUGCUCCGCAAAUGAUGUAGCUGGUUCUGUAGAGCAGAGCAUGGAAAGGCAGGAAUGGAACUAAGAGCAAAUAGAGCAAUCCCAGGGUUGCUCUCCACCAAUUUGAACUACUCAGCAAUGUAAGAAGUUGCCCUGGAAACCAUAAAUUAGUCAUGGUGCUGAUAGACAAGCUCCUAAGAUUUCCCCUAAGCAGCCACUAACAGUUCCAAAAGCAAGAAUGGGGAAGUCAACGAACUGGUUCUCUGGUCUCCCAAUUGAGAGAGGCAGGUUAUAAACUGUAAUGCCCCUACUUCACUGCUUUAAAGAGGGAACAGAUCUGCCUGGGAGUAUGUCAAGUAUCAUAAAACCAAAAUACUCCUGCUUUGUCUUUGUACCUGGUGGUAUUUAAAUAUCCGUCAUUAAAGUUAUCUUUCAUUGUG